UACGUAGGGGGCUAGCGUUGUACGGAAUCAUUGGGCGUAAAGCGCGUGUAGGCGGCCCGGUAAGUCCGCUGUGAAAGUCGGGGGCUCAACCCUCGGAUGCCGGUGGAUACUGUCGGGCUAGAGUGCGGAAGAGGCGAGUGGAAUUCCUGGUGUAGCGGUGAAAUGCGCAGAUAUCAGGAGGAACACCAAUUGCGAAGGCAGCUCGCUGGGACGUUACUGACGCUGAGACGCGAAAGCGUGGGGAGCAAACAGG
rnacentral:rRNA from 1 species